UAUCUCUGUAGAGUCUGCAUAUCAAUAAGCGGAGGAAAAGAAACUAACAAGGAUUCCCUUAGUAACGGCGAGUGAAGCGGGAAGAGCUCAAAUUUGAAAUCUUCAAGGUUUUACCUUGACGAAUUGUAGUUUAAAGAAGUGUUUUCUGUUGAAGUUUCGGUAAAAGUUCUUUGGAAUAGGACAUCAUAGAGGGUGAGAAUCCCGUAUUUGACCGUUAUUUUCAGCUGUGUGAUACACUUUCAAAGAGUCGGAUUGUUUGGGAAUGCAGUCCAAAUGGGUGGUAAAUUUCAUCUAAAGCUAAAUAUUGGCGAGAGACCGGUAGCGAACAAGUACCGUGAGGGAAAGAUGAAAAGAACUUUGAAAAGAGAGUUAAACAGUACGUGAAAUUGUCAAAAGGGAAGCGUUUGACACCAGUGUUGUUUUCUCGAAAAUCAAUUAAAAAUGGCUUGAUUUUGUGUUGUAUUGACCUUAAAAGCUUUCUUCACUUUUUUCAUGUCCUUUUUAAUGCACUUUUCGUUUAACAAGUCAACAUCAGUUUCUUUUGUUGUAAAAAGGUCAUUGGAAGGUGGCUUUCUUUUCGGAGAAAGUGUUUAUAGCCUUUGACUUCUGCAAUCGGAGAGACUGAGGUCUGCAGCGUAGAUCCUUCUGGAUUAGAUUCAUUUGUGCUAAGUUACAACCGUUUAUAGACAACUUGUUGACUAUAUUCGAUCCUGUAGCUUACUCGCUUAUGUAAUUUUACCUACGCUUAGGAUGUUGAUAUGCAUGACUGAUAU
rnacentral:rRNA from 1 species